UUACCUGCAGCCGAGGGGUUAGUUCUUUCGGGACUAGAGACCGGCGCACGGGUGCGUAACGCGUAUGCAACUUGCCCUACUGAAAAGGAUAGCCCUUCGAAAGGAGGAUUAAUACUUUAUAACAGAUUUAAUGGCAUCAUUAGAUUUUGAAAGAUUUAUCGCAGUAGGAUAGGCAUUCGUAAGAUUAGUUAGCUGGUGAGGUAACGGCUCACCAAGACGAUGAUCUUUAGGGGGCCUGAGAGGGUGAACCCCCACACUGGUACUGAGACACGGACCAGACUCCUACGGGAGGCAGCAGUGAGGAAUAUUGGACAAUGGGUGGAAGCCUGAUCCAGCCAUCCCGCGUGUAGGAUGACGGCCUUAUGGGUUGUAAACUACUUUUAUCUGGGGAUAAACCUACUUACGUGUAAGUAGCUGAAGGUACCAGAAGAAUAAGCACCGGCUAACUCCGUGCCAGCAGCCGCGGUAAUACGGANGGCGCAAGCGUUAUCCGGAUUUAUUGGGUUUAAGGGUCCGUAGGCGGAUNAUCAGUCAGUGGUGAAUCUCAUAGCUUACCUUGAAACUGCCAUUGAUCNGGUAGUCUNGANUGAUGUUAAAUUGCUGNAUGGUAANG
rnacentral:rRNA from 1 species